CAGAUAUCCCGAGGCAGCUACAAAGUACAGGGUGCAAGAUGGGCCGACCAGUCGCCAGCUGCCAACCGUGAUACUGUUCAGCGAGGGUCAAGAGAAGAUGCGGCGGCCGCACGCUGACCACACUGGGAAACUUCAGAAAUUCCUUUUUUCGAAAGACAAUUUAAAAGCGGUUUUCGACAUCGAUGGAAUAUACCAAGAGUGUAAAACCAAAAUGGCCGCCAAAAGUAAAAAGACCGAGAAGACGGAGUAGACGGAGUAGACGGUCGGUGUAUUGUAGGAUAUUGAAAAUGCUUGUGUAGAAUAAAUAAUAUAUACAACAAAACAAUCAUGUUCCUCGCACACAGUUGAUAUUAAACAUUAAAAACUAAUAAAUAUAUAUACAGGUGUUCAGUAAAUAGUACGACAUACCAAAUAAAGAGAAAACGACAUGAAAAAAUGUAUUACACAUCAAAAAAAUAUUUUUUGCUAUGGCAACUGUUCAGUUUAUUUUUAUUUUUUUGUUUAUUUAAUCUUACUACAUGGUGUUAUAUUACUUAUAUAACAUCCUGUAUAUAAAUCACAUAUAAUAGGGCAUCUAAGAAAUUUAAGAUAUGUAAGUAAUAAAAAAAUUACUAGCACAUUUCCCACCAAAUAGUGAAAGUGCUAAUAUUAGGUUAUGGUUUGUGUUUUUCUUUUGCGUACAUAAAGAUCUGAAUAGCAUUUAGGUAAAUUGUAUGUGUUUGUAUAUUUUUUAACCCACAUUCAAAAAGCGAAUAGUUCUUAAUUCGAAUGUUUUUUUUUUUUUUUGUUGAACAUAUUACUCAGUGAGUUUGGAUUUUUAAUCGAUUGACAUGAUUCUUUGUGCGUUUGAUAGGGGAUUUUCUUUAUUGAUUUUGCUAAAAAAUAUAUAAUGACUUGAAUCGUUAAAUGUGUAUUGGUACGUGGUAAUAAGAACUAUUCUUAUUUUUAUAUAAUUUGGACCACAGAUUAUUGUUUUAUUGAUUGUAUAAGCAAUUUUGUAUUAAUUAACUAAGCUAUUCGCCGAAGGGGACUACUUGAGAUAAAAGCGUGUUUUAUGAUGCCUUAAAGUUUAUAUUUAUUAGCUGCGACCCGCGGUUUCGACCGCGUACCUUCGGAUACCGGUAGAAAUAUCGGUAUAAAAAGUUGCCUAUAUGUUAUUCCAGCUAUCCAGCUGUCUACGUACCAAAUUUCAUUGCAAUCGGUUCAGCAGUUUUUGCGUGCAAAUUUUAUAUGUG